UGUAUUCUUCAGAUGCAAGGCAUAAUUUAAAAACACAUUUCUGAGCCACAGCUUGAUCCGUUUUACCUUUUGUAUUCUUAGAAAGUUAAGCUACUCCUAAUUUUAUAAAGUAACUUAAGAACAAGUAACGAAAAUAUUUAUAUAAAUGUUUUCCUUGAAAUAGAUCAGAUCCAUCUGACAAAUAUUGCGGAUGUUUUCAUGCCGCACAUUCCAUCGGACAAGCAUCUGUAUUUUUGUACCACGGGUGUGUAAAAUUCCAUAACUUUCAAUUGGUUUACAAGAAUACCAUCUGUUGGGGUCACAUAAGGACCCAUUAUAUCAUGUUUAAUGCAGCUUUACAACACGCGAAUUGCUGGUAAGACUCCGCAGGAGAACACAACCCACCGCCCUUCUUCAGUUGGGGACGGGGCCAGGGCUUUCAUGUGAUUUUUCCCGGCAGAACUACAAGUUCCAUCACCCCUUGGGGGAGGGAGGGCUCAUGACGUCUCGCUUGUCGCUAGCGGGCGUUAACCGUUAACGUGUAUUAACGGUUCCCUUCUUUCCACCUGUGGUCGAAUGCUUUUGCCGCCGCUAUCUUCGGUUCGCGUGCUCGCUGAGAUGGUGUCCUCCCCUUACACUCGUUAGACUUUGGCACGGGGCGGAUGAGCCGCCGAAGAAUGGCAGGCUGGGGGAGGGGGAAGUCUUGGCAACGCGGAGUUCAACGCCAGACCUGAUAGGGCAAAAGUCGCGGUUUACUUGAGAAGCAGGAAGGGAGAGGCCGGCGGAGCAAUGUGGACGCAGAUUAGACUGCAUUGCGCAGACAGGCCGAUAGCGCAGCGGAAUCUCGGUGGGGGAGGUAUCCCUGCGCAGCCGCAAUUAGCUUUCUACCCUUUGCUAGUCCUGGACAGAGUUGCGGUUUGAGCCGAGGGACAGGUUCUUCUGGUGUAGGUCUUCAGCAUCCUUCUUGUAUGGUGCCGACCAGAAUUGGACAUAACAUUUGUGGUGUGGCCUGACCAAUGCAACAUAGAGUGGAACAUAAUCAGAACACUAUACAACUUUUGAUACAGCCCAAGAUUGCAUUUGAUCUUUUGGCAACUGCAUUGGACAAUGGAUCAUAUUCUUCUAACAAAGACUGGGGCCAAGCCACAUACCACCGGUCUUGUACUUGUGUAUCUGAUUAUUCUUACCUAAAGUCAAAAUCCAAUAUUUCUCCUCAUUGAAGUGCAUUUUGUUAGAAAGAGCCAAAUGUUGAAGUCUCAAGAAUUUGUUUGAAACCUGAUACCGUCUUUUGAAACGCUAGCAAUUUCAAAGACAUACCCAUCUGACAGAAGAAGAAAAUGGGAAUGAGAAACAGCUGGGGUAUGAAAGAUCAGUGAAAGCAUAGGUUGUGAAUAAGUUAGCAAAAGUUAUGAACCAUAAGAAUCCAUAAGCACUGACCCAGAUGUCAGAAGAAAAUAAAAGAACAAUGAACUGCAGAGUGAAUCAAAAACUGAACAUAAAAUAUGCACUGAUAACUAAAUAUGAGGAAAAGAUUGAUAAAAGCUGUAAAUUGAUUAAGCUGUAAAUAUCUCAAUGAUAGUAAGAAAUUACUCCAUCAUUGUUGAAAAAAAGACUUACAUGAAUGUUUCAUGUAUCCACAAACUUGGUUGACAUUGCAAUUCUUCAGCUUAAUAUACCUUGUAUUCUUGAAAAUCAUUAAAGAUUUUUCCCCAAUCUAGUAUCCCUUCAGUACCAGGUUAUCAGUGUCCAUGAGGCAAGGAAUAAUGAGAAGUUAACAUAUCUAAAGAGGCACCAUCUCACCAGUUUCUAGUCUUUUACUUUCGCUAUACUACCCAAAUGAACUAAAACAGAAGAUAUUUAAUUGACUUUAUUUUUUCAGUUCCAUGGUACUUAGUUUUUAAUGGUUUGAAUUAAGAGAUUACUAUUAGAACAACCUCUGUAAGCAAGAUUUUAUAAUGUGUUAAACAUUAAUCUUGAUUGUGUUCCUUUUCCAGCAAAUUCCAACAAAUUAAGCAUGAUCCAAUUGUUUGAAUUAAGAGAUUACUGUUAGAACAACCUCUGUAAGCAAGAUUUUAUAACACGUUAAACCUUAAUCUUGAUUGUGUUUCAUCCACUUUUCCAGCAAAUUCCAACAGAUUAAGCAUGAUCCAUUGUCCAAAUAGAAGAUAGCCAGAAUCAAAUCAAACUAUGAAUGAUUCUGGUUUAGAAGAGUUUUGCUCCCAGAUCCAACCUGUUAGUGAAACAGAAAUGAGUGGUGAUUUUCCUGUUAAGAUUUGUCCUUCUGUUUUUGGGAGAGAAAUAGACAUGCUUAAAUUUCUGACUUUCUUUCUACUUUAGGAAGUUACAAUUGGGGAUGUUAUCUCUUCAUCCUUCUGUGACUAGAAUUUUAAUCUUUAGCAGCAAGUUAUCUUUGAAUACAUCAAAAAUAGAUUAUAGUUCUUAUACAAAUCCAGUUCUUUUGUAUUAUUCUAUUGCAAAAUAAACAGUGGUAAAGAUAGGUUAAUACAGUUUUACAGUUAGUAAAAUAUUAUUUUAAUGUGACAAAGCAUUAAAACAAUGAAAUAUCCGUAUAAUACUGUUUUAAAAUAUUUAAUACUUUUCAGACUCUACUAAAAACAAUCCAGGGAAGAAAUUUGAUUGUAUAAAAAAGCAAAUAAUAUUUUCAAGACAUUACUUUGGGGUGGUAUGCAGCAAGUAAUACCACUAGGUGCUGUUCAAAAACAAAAGAAGUAAUUCAUUGUUUUUGCUAUUGUGAUGCUUUUGGGAAAUUAUGGGCCUGGCUAUUACUAUUUCUAUGAAGGAGAUGGGUGGUUAAGAAAUUUGAUAAAGAAGGUAAUAGCAAAAGAAGCUCAGUGAGAUAAGCCUAUACAGUCAUAGAAAGAUGCUGUUUAUUUUUGUCCAUUGGCUUUCUUUUGCUUGGGUAAAUUUUCUCUGGGGAAUUUAGAUGUAGGAGCUUAGAAAAUUUUCAAAAGCUAUGCAGCAAAAAAGAGUGCACAACAGCCCUCUAUCCAGAUAUUUUGGACUUAAUAUGCCCCAGCAAGGAGGUCACUGAUAAAGUGACGUCAGUUGUUGCCCAAAAUUUCUGCUAGUACCAAAUUGCUUAUUCUUCUCCCAUUUUUUUUCUUUUAUUUGUAUAUUGUACCUUGUGUUUUUGCUUUCUGUACUGGGUAUGUUUCAUAUUGUAUUUUUUUUUCUAUGGAAGCUGUUGAUAGUUGUUUUUUUGGAGUGGCACAGAAAUAUGUUUAAUGAACAAGUAGGGACUAACAUAUUUUGUUUGAGGCUACAGGUUAAGAUGAAGUAUCUUUUGUAAGGAGGAGAAGCCAUAUAUGGAAACAGAAUGUAUUUUGAUAUAUUCAAAAUAGCAGGAAACUAUUUGGAUGAAUAAAUAGCAGGAAGCUAUUUGGACCUUAUUAAAAUAACAUUUUACAUAUUUUUAUUCUGUAAAAAAGUUAUCAUACAAAAUUUGGUAGUACAUAUCAAAUCAGUUUUGAAUGCAACUGACUGUAUUGUUUAACAAUAUAUAGGUAUCAGAAGCUCGAAGAUACCAUUUUAUUGAAAUGAACAAAAUAAGGAACAAUUCCACUCACAAAUGGUACUGGAAACAAUGUAUUUUGAUAUAUUUUUGUUUCAUUCUGAAUAUGGUCAAUUUUUGUGAUUCUGAACACUGUAAACAAACUUCAUCCUUUAAUACAGGGGUCCCAACCCCUGGUCUACGGCCUGCUACUAGGCUGAGGCCCGGCUGGAACCGGGCCAGUCAAGUAGCAGGCAAGCAUGCAAAGCUCCAUUUUUGUAAAGGGUGGGUGGGUGGGCGAAACCAUCCCCCCCUGCUGCCGCCACUGUUGCUGGUCCACAAAGCCAAAAAGGUUGGGGAAUGCUGCUUUAAUAAAUCUGUUUGAAUGUUAAGUUGAUAAAACAAUAAUACUGAAAAUAAACAAAUAAAUAAACAAA